rnacentral:rRNA from 1 species
GAAACGACUGCUAAGACUGGAUAGGAAGAUAAAAGGCAUCUUGUAUCUUUUAAAAGACCUAGUUAAUAGGUAUGCUUUAGGAGGGGCUUGCGCCAUAUUAGUUAGUUGGUAGGGUAAUGGCCUACCAAGACGAUGAUGUGUAGCUGGACUGAGAGGUUGAACAGCCACAUUGGGACUGAGACACGGCCCAAACUCCUACGGGAGGCAGCAGUAGGGAAUUUUCGGCAAUGGAGGAAACUCUGACCGAGCAACGCCGCGUGAAUGACGAAGUACUUCGGUAUGUAAAGUUCUUUUAUCGAGGAAGAAAAGCAAAUGGCGAACCAUUUGUUUGCCGGUACUUGAUGGAUAAGCCCCGGCUAAUUAUGUGCCAGCAGCCGCGGUAAGACAUAAGGGGCAAGUGUUAUCCGGAAUUAUUGGGCGUAAAGGGUGCGUAGGCGGUCUAGUAAGUCAGUGGUGUAAUGUCAACGCUUAACGUUGUCCGGCUAUUGAAACUGCUAAACUUGAGUUAGAUAGAGGCGAGUGGAAUUCCAUGUGUAGCGGUAAAAUGCGUAAAUAUAUGGAGGAACACCAGAGGCGUAGGCGGCUCGCUGGGUCUUAACUGACGCUGAGGCACGAAAGCGUGGGGAGCAAACAGGAUUAGAUACCCUGGUAGUCCACGCCGUAAACGAUGAGUACUAAGUGUCGGGUUAAACCGGUACUGAAGUUAACACAUUAAGUACUCCGCCUGAGUAGUACGUACGCAAGUAUGAAACUUAAAGGAAUUGACGGGACUCCGCACAAGCGGUGGAUCAUGUUGUUUAAUUCGAAGAUACCCGAAAAACCUUACCAGGUCUUGACAUGUUUUUGCAAAAUGAUAGUAAUAUCGUGGAGGUUACCAGAAACACAGGUGGUGCAUGGUUGUCGUCAGCUCGUGUCGUGAGAUGUUAGGUUAAGUCCUAAAACGAGCGAAACCCUUAUCGUUAGUUGCCAGCACGUUAUGGUGGGGACUUUAACGAGACUGCCAAUGAUAAAUUGGGGGAAGGUGAGGAUCACGUCAAAUCAGCAUGCCCCUUAUGACCUGGGCUACAAACGUGAUACAAUGGCUGUUACAAAGGGUAGCUGAAACGCAAGUUCUUGGCCAAUCCCCAAAAACAGUCCCAGUCCGGAUUGAAGUCUGCAACUCGACUUCAUGAAGUUGGAAUCGCUAGUAAUCGCGAAUCAGCAUGUCGCGGUGAAUACGUUCUCGGGGUUUGUACACACCGCCCGUCA